CUUGCUUCUCUUGAGAGCGGCGGACGGGUGAGUAAUGCCUAGGAAUCUGCCUGGUAGUGGGGGAUAACGUUCGGAAACGGACGCUAAUACCGCAUACGUCCUACGGGAGAAAGCAGGGGACCUUCGGGCCUUGCGCUAUCAGAUGAGCCUAGGUCGGAUUAGCUAGUUGGUGGGGUAAUGGCUCACCAAGGCGACGAUCCGUAACUGGUCUGAGAGGAUGAUCAGUCACACUGGAACUGAGACACGGUCCAGACUCCUACGGGAGGCAGCAGUGGGGAAUAUUGGACAAUGGGCGAAAGCCUGAUCCAGCCAUGCCGCGUGUGUGAAGAAGGUCUUCGGAUUGUAAAGCACUUUAAGUUGGGAGGAAGGGUUGUAGAUUAAUACUCUGCAAUUUUGACGUUACCGACAGAAUAAGCACCGGCUAACUCUGUGCCAGCAGCCGCGGUAAUACAGAGGGUGCAAGCGUUAAUCGGAAUUACUGGGCGUAAAGCGCGCGUAGGUGGUUUGUUAAGUUGGAUGUGAAAUCCCCGGGCUCAACCUGGGAACUGCAUUCAAAACUGACUGACUAGAGUAUGGUAGAGGGUGGUGGAAUUUCCUGUGUAGCGGUGAAAUGCGUAGAUAUAGGAAGGAACACCAGUGGCGAAGGCGACCACCUGGACUAAUACUGACACUGAGGUGCGAAAGCGUGGGGAGCAAACAGGAUUAGAUACCCUGGUAGUCCACGCCGUAAACGAUGUCAACUAGCCGUUGGAAGCCUUGAGCUUUUA
rnacentral:rRNA from 1 species